rnacentral:rRNA from 1 species
UACGAGGGGGGCGAGCGCUGUUCGGAAUUAUUGGGCGUAAAGGGUGCGUAGGUGGUUAGGUAAGUCCGAUGUGAAAUCUCCAGGCUCAACCUGGAAAUGGCAUUGGAUACUAUCUAGCUUGAGGAGUGGAGGGGGGACUGGAAUUCUCGGUGUAGCAGUGAAAUGCGUAGAUAUCGAGAGGAACACCAGUGGCGAAGGCGAGUCCCUGGACACUUCCUGACACUGAGGCACGAAAGCUAGGGGAGCAAACAGG